rnacentral:rRNA from 1 species
UAGUCAUAUGCUUGUCUCAAAGAUUAAGCCAUGCAUGUCUAAGCACAAGCCGAUUAAUGGUGAAGCCGCGAAUGGCUCAUUACAACAGCCAUAGUUUCUUAGAUCUUACUUUUCUACUCGGAUAACUGUGGUAAUUCUAGAGCUAAUACACGCAAACAAGCUCAGACCUUACGGAAUGAGCGCAUUUAUUAGAACAAAAACCAAUCGGGCUUCGGUCCGUCAUUUGGUGAAUCUGAAUAACUUUGCUGAUCGCACGGUCUUCGUACCGGCGACAUAUCUUUCAAAUGUCUGCCUUAUCAACUUUCGAUGGUAGUUUAUGCGCCUACCAUGGUUGUAACGGGUAACGGAGAAUAAGGGUUCGACUCCGGAGAGGGAGCCUGAGAAACGGCUACCACAUCCAAGGAAGGCAGCAGGCACGCAAAUUACCCACUCCCGGCACGGGGAGGUAGUGACGAAAAAUAACGAGACGGCUCGCUAUGCGGUCCGUCAUCGGAAUGGGUACAAUUUAAAUCCUUUAACGAGGAUCUAUU